AUCUCCAGUUUUAAUGAAUAUUAAAAGAUAUUUACAUUUGACAUUCAUGUCGAUUCAGCAGAUUUCUUUUUAGAGAAAUGACAGAAAUAGCUUGUUAUGGUCAAGAUCCCUUUUUUCCCCAGUUAAAAUCAAAUGAUUUUGCACACCUAUCAAAAAAACAAACAACAAAAAAAAAAAACAAACAAAAACACGGUAUGUUUGAAGUAUUCUCAUUGUGAUGUUAUGCAGCAUUUUGAGUUUUAAGUGCAUUACUGCUACAGAAGAUUUUGAACAGGAACUUUAUUAAAAUUUUGAUAGGAAAAUAUUUUUGUGGUCUUUACUUUUGUUGCUUUACCGUUGGAUAUUUUCUUAGCACUUACUAAUAAUAUCUAAAGAAUUGUAUUUGCAAACAUAUUUUACUAAAUGCAGCUGAAUCUGCAAUAUGCAAAUAUGUAACAAAUGGUAGAAAUAUGCCACCAUAAUUUUGCUAUUUAGCUGCACACGUUUACCAUAUUUAUGAAAAGGGCGCACUUAAAAAAAAUAGAAAGUAGCGACACAUUGCACAAUAUCAUUGUGAAUUUAAACAAAAUAAGGCAGAUUUAAUGUGGCAUUAUAUGAAAGAUGCUUAAAUCAAUACGAACUCCUGAAACAUGUAGUGAUGACAAAAGUCCGGAAGUGUAAGCAUAUCAUGCGUUGCAUGCAACAAUAGCCAUACCUAGUUGUCAAAUUCGUGAGGUGACUCGGAGAACGGAGAAAAUAUUUCUCAUAUCAAUUGAAAACUUAGUUGAAUUGGUUGUAUCGUUUUGAUCAACUCAUUUGUGACAGCAACCAAGAAACGUUUGUAUUGAUCUGUGUUUGGGCUGAUAUAACCCACUUUGAGCAGUUUACAUGUAUGUGACAGUAACUGCUGUCUUUCAAAGAAGACACAGAGGUGAACACAACCUCUGUAGAAUUGUAUUAUGUGUCUACACUAAUGCACACAAUUAAGCACGUGUACUGUGUAACUCUAAAAAGGAGAAUUUACUUAAUGGAAACUAAAAUAAUCACGGUUGUCAGUGUUUUGUGUGAAAACAUCCGUGGUUGUCUAUUUAAUGUUACAUGUAUAAGUCACAAAAACGUGUUUUUAGUUAAUGUUGUUCGUAUUUAUUCUUAAGUGAAGCAAUCUUAUAAGUUUUCGAAACAAGUGCUAAUAUGAACGUCUUCGAGUACAUCAUAUUUUAAAAUCUUUUCUUAACAACAGACUUUAACAACCAAAGUUUACAUUUUUGAACUAGAAUCUUCAGCUGAGUAAUGAACAACACUAUAUAUGUUAUCAAUCAGUUUAUUAUUAAAUUUUAAGAUCAGUUUUUUUAUUUUUAUUUUUAGUGUAUUAAAGUAUGAUGUAACAGGUUCCCUAAACAUGUCUCUUUCAGGCUUCAGUAGUGGCGAUUUAUGGCAACAUGUGUAAUAUGUCUCGAAAUUAUCACUAAUAAGACAGGCUGUAUACCAUGUGGUCACGAGUAUUGUAACAGUUGUAUCCUAGAAUGGAAUCGACUAAACGACACAUGCCCAAUUUGUAGAAGAAAUGUGGUUAACGUUCAAAUAGUCCCAUCUCUACCUUCUACCAAAAAACAUUGCUUGAAUAAAAAACUGAGACAUUCACGAAAUUUAAACACAGCUUACAGUCAUCAAUAUCAGUACCAUUUUAGAAUGAGCGAUGAUUCGGCCAUCAACUAUGUUAUUAUUUUCGCUUUAAUUCCAUUUAUCUUAGUUUAUGGAGACAUGGGCAUUAGAUAUAUGUAUCAACCAGUGUCCACCGGUUGUCGUUAUGGGUUUGAAUCAACGAAAAACUUAGCACACGGAACUGCAGAAAUUUUUAUCAAUGUGACAAAUUUUAUGAAUCAGCUAAAUCAGGGUUUUCAGAAAAUUGUAGAAUGUUUUGAAACAUUUUUUCAUGCGGAAUUAAGUUUAUUUUCUUCCACUUUCAAACUUGUUCAGGAACUUUACAUUUUACUGUUACGGAUCGCAAAUUUGAUUACGAAUGGAGUCCAGAACCUAGUGUUUAAUUUCUUCAAUGGAAUAUGGGACGUCAUGAAAGAAUUAUGGGAGUUUGUGAACAAAGUUUUACCUGAAGUUGGCUGGUUUCUAAGCAAUGCUUGCCGGGUAGUAUUACGAAUGGUGGUUUAUUUCAAUAUAAAUCGUUUAGUAAUUUACUUGUGUGAAUAGAAAAUGAAUACGUACAUCUGGUGUAAGUAUGUUUCGUUCGCGAGACUAUAAAAAUGUUUAUUUUUCAAAUUGAGAUCAAGUGGUUGUUUCCUUUAAAUCAUGCACAUAUCUUUUUAUUAGUUGUUUAUUUUGUGGUUUACAUGUUGUAAUGUACCAUUAUAUUAUUUAUUUAUGUAUUUCUCUGU